ACGCUCGACACCUACGAGAGGCAGCAGUAGGGAAUCUUCCACAAUGGACGCAAGUCUGAUGGAGCAACGCCGCGUGAGUGAAGAAGGUCUUCGGAUCGUAAAACUCUGUUGUUAGAGAAGAACACGAGUGAGAGUAACUGUUCAUUCGAUGACGGUAUCUAACCAGCAAGUCACGGCUAACUACGUGCCAGCACGCCGGACGGUUAAUCUGAGGCGGGCUGGACGAAGGC
rnacentral:rRNA from 1 species